rnacentral:lncRNA from 1 species
GAAGGUACAAUUUUAAACCACCUACUACAAUUGAACUAGAAAAAGAAUAAACACAAUGGAAGUGGUUCUUCUAUCUUGUUCAAGUAGCUUCAGGAGUGCACACUCACAUAAAUUUCUUGCAAAUUUGCCUAGCUCUUCUGCUCUCAAUUUAGUUUAACUUCUGCGUAUGUGUAAUACCUGUAAAAGAGAACAAUCACAGUUUUUUAAUGAGUUAGUAAUUAUAGUUUGAUUGAAACUCAAUUGCUUAUCCUUUAUCGAACUCGAGUUCUAGAGCAAUGCAAACUCCAAUCCUUAUCCUUAAUCCGGAUUAAGUUCUCUUCUCACAAGAAGACUUUAUCUCCUCAUCCUUUAUGCAACCUUUUUGAUCAGUUCAGAUGAUAUUGCUGCUUGAUCCUUGAGACUUAUCUUCUUCACGUGCAUCUCAUAUGUAUAACCACUAUGUCUCACAUGAUUGACCUGGUCCAAGACUGAGUUCAUUUGUCAAUCUUCAAAACUUCAUCUGAACUUGGGCCAACAAAUUCCCCCCUUUUGACGAUGACAAACUCUAUGCUUUUACUAAUCAGAGAACCUAUGGAACUCAGUUGAGUUAUCAACACUGUAACUUAGAAAUUUUAACUUAUCAUUAAGGACCAGGUUUAAUCAGGUUAUAAGUAUCACUUUAUUUCAGAAUACAAAGUAAAGCACAAUAUCUAUUCCCCCUUUUGUAAUCAUCGAAAAGUUGCUUAUAAUGUGAAUUCCAGAUUUUAAUCAUUACCUAUGGCCACUGGGGCAACUACAAGUGAAAGCAUGGUUCAAUUAAUCAAUAAUCAACUUGACAAAAAUUUACUAUUAAGAUCAGAAUCUUCAUAAAGCAAGAGAAAAAGCACAGUAUCAUUGAUUAGGAAAUGUUUCUACAAACCAGACCAUAAAAAGAAAGAAAACACAUCCAACCAUGAGCAACAAAGACAAAGCAACGUCCAAAAUCUGGGCCACUGGGGAUUCUAAACUAGUUCAACAACAGGAAUUGGAAGACCAAAGGCUUGGAGGAACUAGAGGGUUGGGAUUGGAGAAGAUUAAGCGUAGUUCGAAGCACCCCUUCACUCUUUCCCCUUUCCUUUUCUAGCUCAACUUUCAGGCUAUUUCUCUCAUUUUCUAGUUUAGCAACACGAGCCAGGAGCCUAGCAAUUUCAGAAUCUUUUGGUCCAUCUUCCUGAACCAAGGCCCUAACAUUGCUGUUCACAUGAGUCUUCAGUGAUGAACCAGGUUCACCUCAGGCUACACUGAGGAGAUAGUCAUAAGCCUGCAAAGUUUUGACACCAUAUAGUCAUAAACCCAUAUACUAAAGGGUUGGGAUUGGAGAAGAUUAAGCAUAGUCUGAAGCAUCCCUUCACCCUUUUCCUUUUCUUUUACUAGCUCAUCCUUCAGGCCAUUUCUCUCAUUUUCUAGUUCAACAACACGAGCCUGGAGCCUAGCAAUUUCAGCAUCUUUUGUUCCACAUUCUUGAACCAAGGCCCUAACCUUGUUGUUCACAACAGUCUUCAUAGAUUAACCAGGUUCAUCUCGUUGUUCACUCAAAUGUACAAGACCUUCAGCAGCCUCCCCGGACGCACUUCCCAUGACUUCCUUCCACUCUCCUCUAUCCCUCCACAAAUUGCAAGAACUUUGUCUUUAUUUUUGUUUCCCCUCUUAAUAGACUCAACCCCCUUUGCAUACUUCACAGAACCAACCAAUACAAACAUAUUAUCCACCUUUUCUACCACAUCAGAGAAUACAAGACAAGUAUUUACCUCACCGGGGGUUUCUUGAUUUUUGUCAGUGUUAGAAGACCCAAGUUCUUCUCCUUCGAUCGUAGAGAUGAAUGCUUCAGACUCAGAGCUUGAGUCAGAUUAUUUAACAGGGCUUUUUUUUGGCUAGCCUUGAAUUUUUCAUUCAAAGAUUUUCUCAGAGAACCAGAAGCUACUGUUUUUCUGGCCAACAUUUUCUGCCGGCGAAACUUAGGUUUUGGGGUUUCAAUAGAAGGUGUGGAUGAGGAUGUGUUAGGAGAUACUGUUGGGGGAGUCCUUGGACUAUCUUGAGGGUUUGUCAUGGUGAAGUAUUUCUGGAGAAUUUUGGGAAUUUGGGAGAGGAAGAGGAUGAUUAGAAUUUUGGGAGAGAUCAAUGAUGGUUGUGGACUAAAAGGGAGGAUGUGGAGUGUAUUUAAAGAAGAUUAUGAUUAAAUGCAGUAACGAUUGCCAUUUUGGAGUAGUCAAUCAAGAGUCUAAUCACUUUAGAAUUCCGGUCUCUUAGUGAUUAAUAGGCGACACUAGUUUUUAGGCAAAAAUCAUGUUUUCCUUAGAGUUCUAGGAGAAUGAAACUGGUUCAACACUCAACGGAUAUAAUUUAUGGGAGUUUGGUGAAAAUAGGACUUCUGCUCAUGAUUGGAAAAUUAAUCAUUCAAAUUGUGCAAAGUAUAGAAACAUACCUGAACUUUUUCAUGAGCAUGUACUGAUGAACCAGGUUCUUCAAGUAGAACUUCUCUUGUUUAGGCCUCAAAUGCCUGAAUAGAAAAAAAACUUUGUAAGAGAUAAGUGAGUCACUAUAAACACAUGUCACAACAGUAUACUGAUUAAAGUAUGAGACUGAGUAAGAAUUUGUCUAGAUAUUUACACAAAGUAGAAUUUCUAACCAAUUUUUUUUUCCAUUUUGUCCCUUUUUUUCAUUUUGCAUUCUGAACUUGAACUUUUAAGUGAUCUUAGUCAUCCUAAAUUCCAACCUAUUCCUCUCAAAGUUUUUCCUACUCAGUGCUUUAGUGAAGAUGUCAGCUAUUUGUUUAUCAGUAGCACAGAAUUCUAUUGAAAUUAGUCAUUUCUCAUAGUUAUCUCUUAAGAAGUGGUGUCUAACAUCUAUGUGCUUGGUCCUUUUAUGNNNNNNNNNNNNNNNNNNNNNNNNNNNNNNNNNNNNNNNNNNNNNNNNCAUCUAUGUGCUUGGUCCUUUUAUGAUGAACAAGGUUCUUUGUCAUACUUAUAGUACUAGUGUUAUCACAGAAUAUUGGUAUACAUCCCACUUCAAUUCAAAAAUGUACCAGCUGUUGUUUGAUCCAUAACAAUCGAGCACAACAAGAAGCAUCAAUAACAUAUUUAGCUUUAGCAGUAGAUAUGAAUACUGAAUUUUGCUUUUUGGUAGCCCAUGACACAAUACAUGAACCAAGGAAGUGUGCCAUACCUGAGGUGCUUU